rnacentral:rRNA from 1 species
AUUGAACGCUGGCGGCAGGCCUAACACAUGCAAGUCGAACGAGUGGCGGAAGGGUGAGCAAUGUCUGGGAAACUGCCUGAUGGAGGGGGAUCACUACUGGAAACGGUAGCUACUACCGCACACCAUCGGCUGUGCCCAGGUGGGAUUAGCUAGUGGGUGGGGUAACGGCUCACCUAGGCGACGAUCCCUAGCUGGUCUGAGAGGAUGACCAGCCACACUGGAACUGAGACACGGUCCAGACUCCUACGGGAGGCAGCAGUGGGGAAUAUUGCACAAUGGGCGCAAGCCUGAUGCAGCCAUGCCGCGUGUAUGAAGAAGGCCUUCGGGUUGUAAAGUACUUUCAGCGGGGAGGCGUUACCAGCAGAAGAAGCACCGGCUAACUCCGUGCCAGCAGCCGCGGUAAUUC